rnacentral:rRNA from 1 species
ACUUGUUCAGGCCAUGCCACUCUGAACAAGCCCAAUCCCGUCUGAUCUCAGAAGCUAAGCAGGGUUGGGCCUGGUUAGUACUUGGAUGGGAGACCACCUAGGAAGACCAGGUGCUGUAGGUG